rnacentral:rRNA from 1 species
AGGGAGCUUGCUCCCGGAUGUUAGCGGCGGACGGGUGAGUAACACGUGGGUAACCUGCCUGUAAGACUGGGAUAACUCCGGGAAACCGGAGCUAAUACCGGAUAGUUCCUUGAACCGCAUGGUUCAAGGAUGAAAGACGGUUUCGGCUGUCACUUACAGAUGGACCCGCGGCGCAUUAGCUAGUUGGUGAGGUAACGGCUCACCAAGGCGACGAUGCGUAGCCGACCUGAGAGGGUGAUCGGCCACACUGGGACUGAGACACGGCCCAGACUCCUACGGGAGGCAGCAGUAGGGAAUCUUCCGCAAUGGACGAAAGUCUGACGGAGCAACGCCGCGUGAGUGAUGAAGGUUUUCGGAUCGUAAAGCUCUGUUGUUAGGGAAGAACAAGUGCAAGAGUAACUGCUUGCACCUUGACGGUACCUAACCAGAAAGCCACGGCUAACUACGUGCCAGCAGCCGCGGUAAUACGUAGGUGGCAAGCGUUGUCCGGAAUUAUUGGGCGUAAAGGGCUCGCAGGCGGUUUCUUAAGU